UGAAGGUUGGGUAACACUAACUGGAGGACCGAACCGACUAAUGUUGAAAAAUUAGCGGAUGACCUGUGGCUGGGGGUGAAAGGCCAAUCAAACCGGGAGAUAGCUGGUUCUCCCCGAAAGCUAUUUAGGUAGCGCCUCGUGAAUUCAUCUCCGGGGGUAGAGCACUGUUUCGGCUAGGGGGCCAUCCCGGCUUACCAACCCGAUGCAAACUGCGAAUACCGGAGAAUGUUAUCACGGGAGACACACGGCGGGUGCUAACGUCCGUCGUGAAGAGGGAAACAACCCAGACCGCCAGCUAAGGUCCCAAAGUCAUGGUUAAGUGGGAAACGAAGUGGGAAGGCCCAGACAGCCAGGAUGUUGGCUUAGAAGCAGCCAUCACUG
rnacentral:rRNA from 1 species